rnacentral:rRNA from 1 species
CCUACGGGAGGCUGCAGUGAGGAAUAUUGGUCAAUGGACGAGAGUCUGAACCAGCCAAGUAGCGUGAAGGAUGACUGCCCUAUGGGUUGUAAACUUCUUUUAUAUGGGAAUAAAACGUUCCACGUGUGGGAUUUUGUAUGUACCAUAUGAGUAAGGAUCGGCUAACUCCGUGCCAGCAGCCGCGGUGAUACGGAGGAUCCGAGCGUUAUCCGGAUUUAUUGGGUUUAAAGGGAGCGUAGGUGGAUUGUUAAGUCAGUUGUGAAAGUUUGCGGCUCAACCGUAAAAUUGCAGUUGAAACUGGCAGUCUUGAGUACAGUAGAGGUGGGCGGAAUUCGUGGUGUAGCGGUGAAAUGCUUAGAUAUCACGAAGAACUCCGAUUGCGAAGGCAGUUCACUGGACUGCAACUGACACUGAGGCUCGAAAGUGUGGGUAUCAAACAGGAUUAGAUACCCCAGUAGUC